GAAUGGGUCCUGCGCAAUUUGCCCCCGUGAACCGUGUCAGGUGGGGAACCAAGCAGCACUAAGCGGUCAGGUGGAUGUGCCGCAGACAGCCUGUUCCGA
rnacentral:SRP_RNA from 1 species